rnacentral:rRNA from 1 species
UACGCUGGCGGCACGCCUAACACAUGCAAGUCGAACGAAGUAGCAAUACUUAGUGGCAGACGGGUGAGUAACAUGUGGGUAUCUACCCUUUGGCCUGGAAUAACACGAGGAAACUUGUGCUAAUACCGGAUAAGUCUUUACGGAGAAAGCUUUAUGCACCAUUGGAUGAGCCUGCACUUGAUUAGUUUGUUGGUAGGGUAAUGGCCUACCAAGACUAUGAUCAAUAGCUGAUUUGAGAGGAUGAUCAGCCACAUUGGGACUGAGACACGGCCCAAACUCCUACGGGAGGCAGCAGUGGGGAAUCUUGCACAAUGGAGGAAACUCUGAUGCAGCGAUGCCGCGUGAGUGAAGAAGGCCCUUGGGUUGUAAAGCUCUUUCGUCGGGGAAGAAAAUGACUGUACCCGAAUAAGAAGGUCCGG